rnacentral:pre_miRNA from 1 species
UUAACUCAAAUUUGUAUGGAAUUGGAACGUUUGCCUACGUUUGCCGCUGGGGCACUAUUGCCAACUGCAUAUAAAUUUGAGUUA